UACGGGGGGAGCAAGCGUUGUUCGGAUUUACUGGGCGUAAAGGGCGCGUAGGCGGCCACCGCAAGUCGGUUGUGAAAUCUCUGGGCUUAACCCAGAAAGGUCAACCGAUACUGCGGGGCUAGAGUGCAGAAGGGGCAACUGGAAUUCUCGGUGUAGCGGUGAAAUGCGCAGAUAUCAGGAGGAACACCAAUUGCGAAGGCAGCUCGCUGGGACGUGACUGACGCUGAGACGCGAAAGCGUGGGGAGCAAACAGG
rnacentral:rRNA from 1 species